rnacentral:rRNA from 1 species
CCUACGGGUGGCAGCAGUGGGGAAUAUUGCACAAUGGGGGAAACCCUGAUGCAGCGACGCCGCGUGAGUGAAGAAGUAUUUCGGUACGUAAAGCUCUAUCAGCAGGGAAGAAAAUGACGGUACCUGACUAAGAAGCACCGGCUAACGACGUGCCAGCAGCCGCGGUAAUACGGAGGGGGCAAGCGUUAUCCGGAUUUACUGGGUGUAAAGGGAGCGUAGACGGUUACGCAAGUCUGGAGUGAAAGGCGUGCGCCCAACCCGCGGACUGCUUUGGAAACUGUAUAACUGGAGUGCAGGAGAGGUAAGUGGAAUUCCUGGUGUAGCGGUGAAAUGCGUAGAUAGUAGGAGGAACACCAGUGGCGAAGGCGGCUUACUGGACUGUAACUGACGUUGAGGCUCGAAAGCGUGGGGAGCAAACAGGAUUAGAUACCCGAGUAGUC